UACGUAGGGUGCGAGCGUUAAUCGGAAUUACUGGGCGUAAAGGGCUCGUAGGCGGCCAACUAAGUCCGACGUGAAAUCCCCAGGCUCAACUUGGGAACUGCGUCGGAUACUGGAUGGCUUGAAUUCGGGAGAGGGAUGCAGAAUUCCACGUGUAGCAGUGGAAAUGCGUAGAGAUGUGGAGGAACACCGAUGGCGAAGGCAGCCCCCUGGGUCGAAGAUUGACGCUCAUGCACGAAAGCGUGGGGA
rnacentral:rRNA from 1 species